rnacentral:rRNA from 1 species
CCUACGGGGGGCAGCAGUGAGGAAUAUUGGUCAAUGGACGCAAGUCUGAACCAGCCAUGCCGCGUGCAGGAAGACGGCUCUAUGAGUUGUAAACCGCUUUUGUACGAGGGCAAACGCAGAUACUCGUAUCCGUAUGAAAGUAUCGUACGAAUAAGCAUCGGCUAACUCCGUGCCAGCAGCCGCGGUAAUACGGAGGAUUCAAGCGUUAUCCGGAUUUAUUGGGUUUAAAGGGUGCGUAGGCGGUCGGGUAAGUUAGAGGUGAAAUCCCGGGGCUCAACCUCGGCAUUGCCGCUGAUACUGUUCGGCUAGAGAGUAGUUGCGGUAGGCGGAAUGUAUGGUGUAGCGGUGAAAUGCUUAGAGAUCGUACAGAACACCGAUUGCGAAGGCAGCUUACCAAACUACGACUGACGUUGAGGCACGAAAGCGUGGGGAGCAAACAGGAUUAGAUACCCUAGUAGUC